UCCCUUCGGGGGAUAGUAGAGUGGUGCACGGGUGAGUAACACGUAGGUAAUCUACCUUCGGGUGGGGAAUAACCCAGGAAACUUGGGCUAACACCGCAUAAUGCAGCGGCACCACAUGGUGACAGUUGUUAAAGCGGGGGAUCUUAGGACCUCGCGCCUGAAGAGGAGCCUGCGGCGGAUUAGCUAGUUGGUGAGGUAACGGCUCACCAAGGUAACGAUCCGUAGCCGGCCUGAGAGGGCGGUCGGCCACACUGACACUGACAUACGGGUCAGACUCCUACGGGAGGCAGCAGUCGGGAAUUUUGGGCAAUUGGGCGAAAGCCUGACCCAGCAACGCCGCGUGAAGGAUGAAAUCCCUCGGGAUGUAAACUUCGCAAGAAUGGGAAGAAUUAGUAGGGGUUAAUACCCCCUAUGAUGACGGUACCAUUUGUAAGCUCCGGCUAACUCCGUGCCAGCAGCCGCGGUAAUACGGGGGGAGCAAGCGUUGUUCGGAUUUACUGGGCGUAAAGGGCGCGUAGGCGGUCAGCACAAGUCAGUUGUGAAAUCUCCGAGCUUAACUCGGAACGGUCAACUGAUACUGUGCGACUAGAGUGCGGAAGGGACAACUGGAAUUCUCGGUGUAGCGGUGAAAUGCGUAGAUAUCGAGAGGAACACCUGCGGCGAAGGCGGGUUGCUGGGGCCGACACUGACGGCUGAUGCGCGAAAGCCAGGGGGAGCGAACGGGAUUAGAUACCCCGGUAGUCCUGGCCUUAAACGAUGGAUGCUUGGGUCUGGGGUUUAUAGUCCCCGGGGUGGCGAGUUAACGCGUUAAAGCAUCCCG
rnacentral:rRNA from 1 species